rnacentral:rRNA from 1 species
CCUACGGGUGGCAGCAGUGAGGAAUAUUGGUCAAUGGGCAAGAGCCUGAACCAGCCAAGCAGCGUGAAGGAAGAAGGCCCUACGGGUGGUAAACUGCGUUUAUAAAGGAAUAAAGUGAGGCACGUGUGCCUUUUUGUAUGUACUUUAUGAAUAAGGAUCGGCUAGCUCCGUGCCAGCAGCCGCGGUAAUACGGAGGAGACGAGCGUUAUCCGGCUUUAUUGGGUUUAAAGGGUGCGUAGAUGGGUUGUUAAGUCAGUUGUGAAAGUUUGCGGCUCAACCGUAAAAUUGCAUUUGAUACUGGCAGUCUUGAGUACAGUUGAGGUAGGCGGAAUUCGUUGUGUAGCGGUGCAAUGCUUAGAUAUCACGCAGAACUCCGAUUGCGAAGGCAGCUUACUAAACUGCCACUGCCAUUGAUGCUCGAAAGUGUGGGUAUCAAACAGGAUUAGAUACCCGAGUAGUC